CGGGGGGCAGCUAACACAUGCAAGUCGAGCGGAACGAGUUAACUGAACCUUCGGGGGACGUUAACGGCGUCGAGCGGCGGACGGGUGAGUAAUGCCUGGGAAAUUGCCCUGAUGUGGGGGAUAACCAUUGGAAACGAUGGCUAAUACCGCAUAAUAGCUUCGGCUCAAAGAGGGGGACCUUCGGGCCUCUCGCGUCAGGAUAUGCCCAGGUGGGAUUAGCUAGUUGGUGAGGUAAGGGCUCACCAAGGCGACGAUCCCUAGCUGGUCUGAGAGGAUGAUCAGCCACACUGGAACUGAGACACGGUCCAGACUCCUACGGGAGGCAGCAGUGGGGAAUAUUGCACAAUGGGCGCAAGCCUGAUGCAGCCAUGCCGCGUGUAUGAAGAAGGCCUUCGGGUUGUAAAGUACUUUCAGCAGUGAGGAAGGUGGUAGCGUUAAUAGCACUAUCAUUUGACGUUAGCUGCAGAAGAAGCACCGGCUAACUCCGUGCCAGCAGCCGCGGUAAUACGGAGGGUGCGAGCGUUAAUCGGAAUUACUGGGCGUAAAGCGCAUGCAGGUGGUUUGUUAAGUCAGAUGUGAAAGCCCGGGGCUCAACCUCGGAAUUGCAUUUGAAACUGGCAGACUAGAGUACUGUAGAGGGGGGUAGAAUUUCAGGUGUAGCGGUGAAAUGCGUAGAGAUCUGAAGGAAUACCGGUGGCGAAGGCGGCCCCCUGGACAGAUACUGACACUCAGAUGCGAAAGCGUGGGGAGCAAACAGGAUUAGAUACCCUGGUAGUCCACGCCGUAAACGAUGUCUACUUGGAGGUUGUGGCCUUGAGCCGUGCUUUCGGAGCUAACGCGUUAAGUAGACCGCCUGGGGAGUACGGUCGCAGAUUAAAACUCAAAUGAAUUUGACGGGGGCCCGCACAAGCGGUGGAGCAUGUGGUUUUAAUUUCCAUGCAACGCGAAGAACCUUACCUACU
rnacentral:rRNA from 1 species